rnacentral:rRNA from 1 species
GGGGGUAAUUUAAUAAAUUAUAAAUUAUAAAAAAAUUUUUAUUUAAUAUAUUUUAAUGGGGGUUAAAGUAUUAUGAAAGAAAAAAUUUUAAAAUUUAUAGAGAAUUAGUAUUGUGAAAGAAAGUUGAAAUAAUAUGAAAAUUAAUUAAUAAAGAAGUAAAUUUAAUUUAUUGUAUCUUGUGUAUCAGAGUUUAUUAAUAAAAAUUUUUAAAAAAAAAUUUCUCGAAUUUAAAAGAGAUAAUUAAUUAAAAAAGUUAUUGUUUCAAAAAUAUUUUUAAUAAUUAAUUUGAAAUGAAAUGUUAAUCGUUUUUAAAGAUAUCUAGUUUUUUUAGAAAAAAAUUUAAUUUAGAAUUUUUUUUUUUAUUAAUUUUUUUAAUAAUUUAUAAUUUUUUAAAAUUUAAUAAAUUAAGGGAUAAGCUUUAAAUUAAAUUUUUAUAAUUAUUAUUUAUUUUAUAUAUUAAAAUUUUUAAAAUUUAUAUUGUUUAUAAAUUAUAUUUUUUUAUAAAAAAUUUUAUUAAUAAAUAAAAUUUUUAAUUAAAAUUUAAAUUUUUAUAAAAAAAUAAUUUUUAAUUAAAAAAAAUUAGUUAUAAUGAUAAAAUUAGUAUAAAAUAUAUUAAAAUAAAUAAUUUUUUUUUUAUAAUUAAAAAAAAGGAAUUCGGCAAAAAUUAAUAUUCACCUGUUUAUCAAAAACAUGUCUUUUUGAUUAUAAUUUAAAGUCUAAUCUGCCCACUGUUAUAUUGAAGGGCUGCAGUAUAUUGACUGUACAAAGGUAGCAUAAUCAUUAGUCUUUUAAUUGAAGACUUGUAUGAAUGAUUUGAUGAAAUAUUAACUGUCUCUUUUUUAUAAUUAGAAUUUAAUUUUUUAGUUAAAAAGCUAAAAUAAUUUUAAAAGACGAGAAGACCCUAUAGAGUUUUAUAAUUUAUUGAUUAUAAUUUUUAUGUAAAUUAUAAUAAAAAUUAAUUUAAAUAUUUUAUUGGGGUGAUGGAAAAAUUAAUUGAACUUUUUUUUAUAAUUAAACAUUAAUUAAUGAAAAAUUGAUCCAUAAUUUAUGAUUAAAAGAAAAAAUUACCUUAGGGAUAACAGCGUAAUAUUUUUUUUUAGUUCAAAUAAAAAAAAGAGUUUGCGACCUCGAUGUUGGAUUAAGAUAAAAUUUAAAUGUAAAAGUUUAAAAUUUUGAUCUGUUCGAUCAUUAAAAUCUUACAUGAUCUGAGUUCAAACCGGUGUGAGCCAGGUUGGUUUCUAUCUUUAGAAAAAUUAAAUAUUUUAGUACGAAGGGAUUAAAUAUUAAAAAUAAAUUUUUUUUUAGGAAUAUUAAUAAAUUUUAUAUAUAAUU